rnacentral:lncRNA from 1 species
UUUAGGGUAGUGUACCUGGUAUUAGAAUACAAGAAUAAGAAGAUCAGCAGAGUAGUAUGUAACCCAGCAACAACAAUAACAACCAGCAACAACCAGUAAACAGAAUGCCCAGUGACAGAUUUUAAAACCAACAGGAUCCCAGCACACUCAAUGAAACAGUACCAAUACAAAACAAUGCAGACCAGAAAUAACAACUCAAGAAACCACUUAAAACCUCAGUGAAAUCCCAGAAAUACCCAGCAAUCAGAACAGAACCAGAAUGUAUUUAGAAGUGCAAAAGAUGCAAGGAAACAGUCCUGAUUUUUUUUAACACUCAAAAUAGAACACUCUCAAACAAACUCUCAAACUACUGGUCUCAGGACAAAGACAACCUGUUUUCACUCUCUAAAAACUGAACUCUUUUUUGAUUUUAAGAUCAGCCUGUUCUUUGUUCUUUAAUUCUGAAUUCUUAGUGUCAAAACUCCAGCCUAACCUUACUCUAUAACUCUGACCUUUUUCAGAUUCCAAAAGCCCCUAUCCUCUGUAAAAACUUCGACCCUAAAUCUGUCCUAAGUGACUCUAUUUAUAACCAAACAUUGACCUUGCCCCUCAACUUUCAAAAGCACUUUGGGCAGAAUUUUCCCACUAAUUCUGCCCAUCAUCUCCUUUUAAUUCCACUAGUAUAUGUUUUGUUCUCCACUACACUUGUCUUUUCUUUAUUUAAAUUCAAAUAGGUAUGGGCACCUAUUUCUUAAUCCAUUUUCUUUAAACCUUUCCCCCACCAUUAUGUCUUGUUCCCCAUUAACACUAAAUAAUUGUAUUAGUUUAAUGGUAUUUUAGUACCCUACUGUCAGCCCACAUAAACUAGCCAAUUUCUGAACUUUUUAAUCCCCAAAAUACCCCAUUAACCCCUAUGUAUUACUGCCAUGCCCUAAACUUCAAUCGAUCUGUUUUCUAAGUUACAAACCUAACAACUGAUUUUUCACUGAUCACUAAAGUACUACAGCUAUAACCAAUUCACAAUCAAAUUCAAACAAUGAUUCAAUCAGAAUUGAAGCAAUACAAAUCACAUUGUUAUCAUGUUAUUUAAUCAGAAUUGAAGCAUGUAAAACACAUACAAUCAAUAGCAAAUAAGAAUCGAACAGGCACACAGGUGAUUCGAAUCGUAUUGAUAGAAAACAGGGAUUCAUAACUAAACUUAACUAAUCGACGACACUCAUUCAAUCGAUUAUAUAGUUUUAUCACAUUCAUUAACCAUGACCAGAAAAAGUUCGACCAAAUGAAGGGUCAUUGAAGACGGACAGAAUCAAUCGACAAAAGAAAAUGAAAAGUCAAUAAAACUAAACUAAAGUAAACAGAAUAAACAAACACAAAAAUGGAGCAAACAGGAAAGGGGAAAAUACCUCAAGAACUCGGGACCUGGACGACCCUGAUUCAAACUCAAAUUCGAACUGUUUGAGGUCGAACGGACCUUAAUCGAGUGUUCUCAACUGAGAACACUUCAACUAAGGUCAGUUAAACACCCAAAUUCCCUUAAACUUCAGACAGAAACCAGUUUUGAUUUUCUAGGGUUCUUACGUUUCGAUUUCGGGUUCGAGUGUUUCUAUCCAGAUUUGAUUCAAAUCAAAGGUGGUUUGGGUACGAGGGAGGUCAUGGGGUGCCAGAGUGUGAAUUUGGGCUUGGUUGGGGUAGGUUCGAGUUCUGCUCGAAUCUUCGAUUAAAGAUUCGUGAAGUUGGAGGUUGAUUCGAGGCAAACAGUUAACAUAUCCAUAACGAGGGUGGUUAGGGGGUGCCUUGGUGUGAGUUUGGGACUGGUUGGGGUGGGUUUCAAGUUUGCUCGAAUCUUCGAUUGAAGAUUCGAGAAGCUACAAUAUGAUUCGAGCAAAACGAUUAAGGGAUUCGUGGAGAGGGUGGUUAAGAGCUCUAGGGGUGUUAGUUUCAUGGUCAUCGGCGUUGUUGCCGCCAACUUUCAGGCGAAGGGGUUUCAGGGCGGCUAGGGUUUGGAGGGUUGUUUGGUUUGUCUCUGACGGAAACGAUGAAUAUGGGUGUGGCUUAGGGAGGGGUGUGAGGUGAAGGGUUGAAUUUAUAUACGGAGGGGGUGGUUUAAUCCUGGCCGUUGGAUCAAGCACGAUCAACGACCUGGAUCAAUUCACUUAACAGACACGACGUCGUUUGGAGUAGUGCUGGGGCGGUUUGAACCGGGGAACGGGUCGGGCCAGGGAAUGGGUAAGGGACAUUGAUCUGUGGCCGUUGGAUAUGACUUGAUUGAAUGGCUGAGAUUUUUGCCAUUGAGACGACGUAGCUUGGUACCUAUACUACGUCGUUUCAACAUCCUGUGAGAGGAGCUGCCUGGACCGGGCUUGGGGUGAAAUUUGGGCCUGAUCUUUUGGUGCAAAAUAAUGGCCCAAACCGAUUUCACUCUUUUCUUUUUCCUUUUCAUUUCCUUUUAAUUCCUAAAACCAAAAAUUCCUAAAUUAAAUUGUAAAACCAAGAUUAUUUAAAAAUAUAUUAAUUAACCCUUAACAACAAUUAGCACAAGAUCAAACAAAAAUAAAAUCGCACAAUUAAACAAUAAAAAUGACAAAGCUACCAAAAUUCAUAUUUUUGUGAUUUUCAUUCUUUAAAAUAGGACAUGGUUUAAUUAAUUCCAAAAUGCGUAAUUAAAUCCUAAAUGCACAUGCAACACAUAUUUUUUGUAUUUUUCUCAUUUAAAGUAGAAACAAACAUGCGCAGACAAAAAUACAAAUAAUCACAAACAACACAAAACCAUUUUGUUUUUUUUUGAAUUUUUGGGAGUAGUUCUCAUAGGGUAAAAAUCACGUGCUCACAAACGUGUACACAAUCACAAUGAUAAAUUUAAAAUGCGUCUAAAGCGUACUAAUCAUAUUCAUAAUUCUUCCUAAACUUUGAGAUUAUUGAGAUGCCAAAUUUAUGAACAAGAUAUUAUUGGGGAACAAAUAGGCUAGCUAACAUGAUCUAUUACUUGGCCAGAUUUCUUAUGGUCGAAGGCCUACCUUAUGGCCCAUUCUUAUUCCUUGCCAAGAAAGAAACAACUCUAAUUUUUUCACUACCCAAUUAAAAGCAAUUAUUCAAGAACCAAGACUACAUAUAUCAUAAUCGAAAUAAAACUAAUUAAAACAAUUUAAAUGAAAACUAAGAUAUACUACUCAACAACGUAGAAUCACAAAUCAACCAACACACGCACCAAGCUAUCAUAACACAAUAAAAUAAGAGUGAAAAUUGAGAAAUUGGCCUUUUAUUGAUGAACAAACUGAAAAUUGCAAAUCAAUCGGGCUAAACAAAGCAACAAUCCUUGAACCGAAACACCGUAAUUAACAAUCCAAAACCUCGAAUCGACACCAGAAAGCUCAAAACCCGUACGCGACCUCAAUUAAAACUCACCUUCGGAAAAAGAAACAAAACAGAAUGUACAAGGAGGAAAAAUUUCCCAUUUUUUCUGUCCAAAUAUCUCUGAUUUCGUCCGUAUCCUCUAAUCCCAUAUUUCCAUUUUCCCAUCUCCUUCAUUUCCCUUUUCUGUUCGUGUGUUCCUUUCAGUUAGGUAGUGUCCAUUCCAUUAUUUGUAGUUUCUAAUUCCCUUCAAUUUUGGUCACUUUUUGUUGCUUUAUGUGUGUAUAUCUUCUUUGGUGGGGUGAGGUGAAACUGACGGGAUCGAAAGGGAUUUAGACCUGGUUCUCUUGAAUUGGAAUGAAGUCUCAUUUUUGAUCAUGAGGGAGUGAGAUCUGGAGAUUUCUAGGGGUCCAUGAAUUACGGCUAUCAGGCCUUUUCUAUGGGGGGGGGGGGGGAUCUUUUAUAGCUUAGUGUCUAGGUCUAGG